AUGGUGGUUCUACUGGAGACUACUUUGAGCAAUGUGUUGUUGAUUUUGCCAAGCAUCUAGAAGGUACUCGCCUGCUUUAAUUUCUUGAGAUUGUACAAAAUAAAAUAUUACAAUUAUUGCCUUAUUCACAGUGUACAAAGGGAUUUUAUCAUACAAACUGUUGAUCCUAUAGGGACUGGUCAUGGAGGAGAGUCUAUUUUUGGCCAAUUGUAUGGUGAUCAAGCGAGCUUUUUUGAGACAGAAAACGUCCCAAGAGUUAAACACAAGAAGAAAGGCACAAUGUCCUUGGUGAAUAAUGGCAGUGAUCAACAGGGAUCUCAGUUUCUUAUCACUACAGGAGAAAAUCUAGAUUACCUUGAUGUUACCAUACAGUAUUUGGUGAGGUGACAGAAGGCAUUGACAUAAUUAAGAAAAUUAAUGAGACCUUUGUUGACAAGGACUUUGUACCAUAUCAGGAUAUCAGGAUAAAUUAUACAGUGAUUUUAGGUGAUCCGUUUUGAUGGCGCUCCUCAUUUAUUAAUGCCUGAUCUAUCACCAGAACCUACAAGGGAACAAUUAAAGAGUGGUAGAAUUGAUGCAGAUGAAGAAAUUGAUCAUUUCAAAGGAAGGUCAGCUGAAGAAGUAGAAGAAAUAAAGGCAGAAAAAGAAGCUAAAACUCAGGCUUUACUUUUAGAAUGGUAGGAGACCUACCUGAUGCAGAUAUUAAACCUCCAGAAAAAUCUGCUGUGUUUGUAAAUUGAAUCCAGUGAGUACAGAUGAGGAUCUGGAUAUAAUACUCUCUAGAUUUGGGCCAAUAAGAAGUUGUGAAGUUAUCUGGGACUGGAAGACAGGAGAAACCCUCUGUUAUAUGUAUGCUUUUAUUGAAUUUGAGAAGGAAGAAGACUGUGAGAAAGCGUUCUUAAAAAUGGACAGAAGAAAACAUGGAUUUUAGCCAGUCUGCUACAAAGGUUAAAUGGAAGGAAAAGGUGGGAAGUACAACAAGAGUGAUUUAAAGGAGUAUAAAAAGGAACAGAAUAAACCAUCUAAUUUGGUUCUGAAAGAUAAAGCCCAAACAGGAGGCAAAAUAUGCUGUUGUAUUAGAUGAGCAGGCAGAAGACUCAAAGUCAAGUCACUCACUUACAAGUAAAAAACACAAGAAGAAAACCCAUCACUGUUCUGAAGAAAAAGAAGAUGAAGACUGCAUACCUAUCAAAAAUACUAAUCCAGAUAAUUAUAGAGAAAGUUUGGAGUUUGGUCACUAUGAAGAAGAAGAAAGCUGUUGGGAGAAAUGAAAGAGUAAAAAGAGAGACUGAACUCAGAACCAAAGUCGUAGCUGAUCUCGAGAGAGGAAUGGCCAUUAUAGUAAUAGUCACAAAUCCAAAUACCAGACAUCUUUACGAAAGAGAAAGGAGUAAAAAGGGACUGAGGCAGAAGUCCAAAGAAAUCCAAAGAUAAAGAAAAAUCUAAAUACAGAUGA